ensembl:lncRNA
AACCUGUCCUACAAGAUGACUUGAAUGGUGCUCCUUGUUUCGUCAUUCCUGUUUCGUUGUCAUCAGACCUGUUUACGGGUCGGUGUGGGUUUUGAGGUUGUUUUUUUUAACUGGAGGAACAGUUCAAUGCUUUUCACUUGUAGACUUUGUGCCUGUAUGAUGUGGAUGUCAUCUUUCCUCAUUUAACUCAAGUUCUUCACGUAUUUUAAAACAUCAGGACCCUCUCAGGGAUUUGGGAACAACAACGAAGGACUGAAAAAUGUCAAAAGAUAAAAGUGAAAAAAAGGACAAAUCUGAAAAGGCUCUGGCAGCGGAAAAAGAACAAUUUGUCAAACUUCAGCUGCAGAGCAUUUCAAAGUGCAUAACCUCCACUGAGGCACCAAUAAAAGAGAGAUAUGGACGCAAUUCCCAGGCUCUGCUAAUGAAAAGCAUGAUGCCACCACCCCAUGCUUCACUGUGUGAGUGGUGUUCUCAGGCUGAA